rfam:Triticum aestivum genome assembly, contig: Triticum_aestivum_CS42_TGACv1_scaffold_042290_1BL
UUAGUACUCCGUCCGGCCGAAAAUACUUUUCGAAGGAGUGAAUGUAUCUAGACGCAUUUUAGUUCUAGAUACACCCAUUUUCAUCCAUUUCUCCGACAAGUAUUUCCGGACGGAGGGAGUACCUA